rfam:Arabis alpina cultivar Pajares chromosome 4, whole genome shotgun sequence.
AAGUGGUAAAUGAGAUAGACAGGGAACAAGCAGAGCAUGGAUUGAGUUUACCAAAACAUCAUACGACUGUGUUUUGUCUCUUCCCAUGCACUGCCUCUUCCCUGGCUCUCCCUCUCUCUCUUUCU